rnacentral:rRNA from 1 species
AACGCGAAGAACCUUACCUGGGCUAGAAUGCCUCUGACCGGCGUAGAGAUACGCCUUCCUGGGUAAAACCAGGCAGAGUGCAAGGUGCUGCAUGGCUGUCGUCAGCUCGUGUCGUGAGAUGUUGGGUUAAGUCCCGCAACGAGCGCAACCCUUAUCAAUAGUUGCCAGCGGUUCGGCCGGGCACUCUAUUGAGACUGCCGUUGACAAAACGGAGGAAGGUGGGGAUGACGUCAAGUCCUCAUGGCCUUUAUGUCCAGGGCUACACACGUGCUACAAUGGCGAGUACAAAGCGCUGCAAACCUGCAAAGGGGAGCCAAUCGCAAAAAGCUCGUCUCAGUUCGGAUUGGAGUCUGCAACUCGACUCCAUGAAGCUGGAAUCGCUAGUAAUUGCAGAUCAGCAUGCUGCGGUGAAUACGUUCCCGGGUCUGUACACACCG